rnacentral:lncRNA from 1 species
CCGGGGCGGCGCGCCGUGCUCGGCAGGCAGUCGCGUCACGGCGUGGGAAGCUCGCUGUCGUCCGCGACCUUGUCUGCAUGAGGUGGCAGGCCAGGGCAGGGUAGGGCGGCGCUUGCGCUGUUCCCUCUCACACGUGGCUGGCCGGGUGUCAAGUGUGCCUCCAGCCGCGCUGCGGCCUAACUAACGGAACUGGACGUGCUAGCUCGACCGGAAACGACAGCUGUGACAGUAAUCCGUGCCGGUGAACACUCGUUCGACUGCAGUGCAGAUCCAGGGCUUAGUUCUGAGAGGAGGUCGCAUUUCCUUACUGGGUCCUCUUCCCCUCAUUAUAGCUUGCCAUCAGUCAUAUUUUUAAAGUGAACAGAUGUCUACAAUUUUAAUAACAACUACAAUAAAACAUAAAAAAAUUAGUAGCUGUAAGCUGACUGAUUACAAUAAACCAUACAAAAUGU